GCCCCGUUAGCUCAGUGGUAGAGCAGUUGGCUUUUAACCAAUUGAUGAGGGUUCGAUUCCCCCACGGGGUA
rnacentral:tRNA from 1 species